rnacentral:tRNA from 1 species
GCCGGAGUGGCGGAAUUGGCAGACGCACCGGACUCAAAAUCCGGCGCUCUUUACUGAGCGUGUGGGUUCGACUCCCACCUCCGGCACCA